rnacentral:lncRNA from 1 species
UUGCUCCAUCAUCAUCAGCUGAACUCAUAGGGGAAGACUCUGUUCUUAUUCUUCCUGAUUCACACAACUUUUAGCUUCCUGUAAAUAGAUAGUUCCUUCAUAUAUCUACAGCUUGCAAAUAAUUGGAAAGGGUAAUAAUAUAUCUAAGAAGAGACUCCCAAUCUACUCUGAUUUUCCAUCAUGUUUUCCAUAUGUAAAAAACUGAUAAAAUUAAGUAGUAUCCGUAUCGGAUGUGCUUCCAAAAGCAACAUCUCCGAUUAUUGGAUCUUCACAUACAGCAUAAUGCAAAUUCAAAAAUUCAUACUUGAACUACAUGUGGAUGGGAGAUUAAGUUCAAAUCAUACAAGAAUGCAGCAACUUCUACUGUACAAAUAUCGGUUGCUUAUUUUGUAACCAAACUUCAAUUUAUAAAAAUUCUUUGGACAAAUAAAUGCAGCAUUUGCUACAUUUUCUUUCACAUGUUAUAUAGAUCCUACAUGCUAGUAUCAGAUAGAAGGAGUCUACACAAAAAUCAUAAACCCUUUUCUUCCAGGCUGAGGAAAACAGAAGAUUUUAAAAACAAGAAAUAAAAAAAUUACAAAAACUACUUGCACAACGCCUAGAAUCAAGAUUGAAAGAUUGCACUAGAAGUAGUACUUAUCAAAAAUAAAACUGCACUCGCAACAAUAAUUAAGAAUCACUACCAGCAGAAGAAGAAAAUCUCAUACGCUGGUGAUUGGAUCUAAAUAAUAAAAUGCAGGGUCAAUAGACAAAGUUCGGAAUCUAGUUGCUGUUAAAAUAUAUCGAUGGUUCAAUGUGGAGUGAUGAAUGUGUUUGCUGAUGAUCAUCUAACCAUAAUUAUUCUGCAGAAAGUGAGGAAAAUGAAGAAAAAGAUGAUUAGAUGACCAUCAACAAAACAUAUUCAUCAUCAUAUCUGCAUAAAACACACAACAAAAGGUCUUAAAAUCCAGCAAAGUCAUACUACUAAAGGACAAACACCCAUAAUAGGACAGUUUGUAUUAUAAGUCUUGCAAGUAUAUACUCUGGAAUAUUUCUCCAAGAUAAGCAUAUUCUUUGGGAAUAAACCUCCAGUUGGGCUCCUUAUAAUGGUUGGUGAGAAAUGAAUGAGUGUUCAUUUCGAAUUUGAAGAGUGAAAAACUUACCAACACAUAAAUGGUGAAUACUCUGAGAGAUGGUGAUAAAGAGACUGGGUAAGAGAG